rnacentral:rRNA from 1 species
AGAGUUUGAUCAUGGCUCAGGACAAACGCUGGCGGCGUGCAUAAAACAUGCAAGUCGAACGGACUUCAGUCCGCAAGGACUGAAGUGAGUGGCGAACGGCUGAGUAACACGUAGGUGACCUGCCCCGAAGUUUGGGAUAACAACUCGAAAGAGUUGCUAAUACCGGAUGUGACCACCGAUUCAUUUCGGUGCUUAAAGUCGUAAGACGCUUUGGGAGGGGCCUGCGGCGGAUUAGCUAGUUGGUGUGGUAACGGCAUACCAAGGCUUCGAUCCGUAGCUGGUCUGAGAGGAUGGCCAGCCAGACUGGGACUGAGACACGGCCCAGACUCCUACGGGAGGCAGCAGUUAGGAAUUUUGCGCAAUGGAGGAAACUCUGACGCAGCCACGCCGCGUGAGGGAUGAAGGCCUUCGGGUCGUAAACCUCUUUUCUCAGGGAAGACACCCGACGGUACCUGAGGAAUAAGCAACGGCUAACUACGUGCCAGCAGCCGCGGUAAUACGUAGGUUGCGAGCGUUGUCCGGAUUUACUGGGCGUAAAGCGCGCGCAGGUGGUCCUGAAAGUCGAGCGUGAAAGCUCCCGGCCCAACUGGGAGAGGCCGUUCGAAACUUCAGGACUUGAAGGCGGGAGAGGCAAAUGGAAUUUCCGGUGUAGCGGUAAAAUGCGUAGAUACCGGAAGGAACACCAGUGGCGAAAGCGAUUUGCUGGCCCGCCCUUGACACUCAGGCGCGAAAGCUAGGGGAGCGACCGGGAUUAGAUACCCCGUUAGUCCUAGCCGUAAACAAUGGGCACUAGGUGUUGUCGGUAUCGACCCCGGCAGUGCCGAAGCUAACGCAUUAAGUGCCCCGCCUGGGGAGUACGACCGCAAGGUUAAAACUCAAAGGAAUUGACGG